rnacentral:rRNA from 1 species
CGGGGUGGAGUAAUGUCUGGGAAACUGCCUGAUGGAGGGGGGUAACUACUGGAAACGGUAGCUAAUACCGCAUAACGUCGCAAGACCAAAGUGGGGGACCGUUCGGGGCCUCAUGCCAUAAGAUGUGCCCAGAUGGGAUUAGCUAGUAGGUGGGGUAACGGCUCACCUAGGCGACGAUCCCUAGCUGGUCUGAGAGGAUGACCAGCCACACUGGAACUGAGACACGGUCCAG